rnacentral:rRNA from 1 species
CUGCUGCCUUCCGUAGGAGUUUGGACCGUGUCUCAGUUCCAAUGUGGGGGACCUUCCUCUCAGAACCCCUACGCAUCGUCGGCUUGGUGGGCCGUUGCCCCACCAACUACCUAAUGCGCCGCAUGCCCAUCCGUGACCGGAGUCGCCCCCUUUGGCCGGAAAGGGAUGUCCCUUCCCGGCGUCAUGCUGUAUUAGGCGGGAUUUCUCCCGGUUAUCCAUCUGUCACGGCCAGGUUGCAUACGUGUUACUCACCCGUGCGCCGGUCGCCCGG